CUUAUACACCGGGGAUGAACAACUUUUGUCACGUGACCGCAAAAGUCAACGCCGGUUGCAGAAACAGAUUGUAAUCUUGUACAUUAAGAAACAUGACGCUCGUGUGUGAAAUCUGUGGAAAGACAUUUAAAUCGAAGUGGGGGUUAAAGCUUCAUGAUAAGCGCCACAGAGGGACUGGACGAUUCGCCUGUUGUGGAAAAACAUUUUACACAAAACAGGCGUUCAACAGACACAGAUGCAGCAUUCAUGGUGUUGAAAAGCCGUUCCCCUGUGAACAAUGCGGCAAAAAGUUUUCAACCAAAGAUGACCUGAAUCGUCACGUCCGGAGGGAGGUUGCUGCAAAGCAAUUUACCUGCUCAAUUUGCAAUGCAACGCUCCGGGAGAAAAUUGACCUUCAGGCCCACCUUGCCACCCACAAUGGAGAGAAAAACUUUGCUUGUGAUAUGUGUGAAAAGAGGUACAGGCACCGCAGUAGUCUAUCAAAGCACAGAUCUGCAAAGCACCGGGCCUAGUCAUCUGUUGCAUGACGAUGAUAAGACCAAGAAUUAUUUUUAAUUCUUACCAAUGUGCCGUGGUUAUUUUCUUAAUUAUUGAAAAUACAGACUGUCAUACAAUAAUAUAUAGUAUUACGCGUGUUUUUGCGUCUUAAACAUUGUGUUUCAUAUCGUUUAUCUUGUGUUGUUUUGUUUGAUAUUCCUGUUUUUAAUAAGAUUAUUGUUGUAAUAUUUAUCAUUCUAAUUUAAAAUGAUUAUGAUAAUGGUUGAUCUCAUACAAAUUAUUGUGUUCAUUAUUGCUCAUCUGUGAUUACUGUUGAUCUCAGCCCAUGAAUUGUGAUUUAUAUUGAUUAUCUGUGAUUAUUGUUGAUCUUAUCAAAAUAAUUGUAAUUUAUGUUGAUUAUCUUUGAAUUUUUUAUCUUAACCUAUUAAUAGUGAUUUAUAUUAUCUGUGAUUAUUGUUGAUCUUAUCAAAAUCAUUGUGAUUUAUGUUGAUUAUCUGUGAUUAUUGUUGAUCUCAACCGAUUAAUUGUGAUUUAUAUAACCAGUGAUUAUUGUUGAUCUUUUCGAAAUCAUUGUAAUUUAUGUUGAUUAUCUGUGAUUAUUGUUGAUCUUUUCAAAAUCAUUGUAAUUUAUGUUGAUUAUCUGUGAUUAUUGUUGAUCUCACCAUAUCCGCUGGAAUAUACAUUUGAGCCGCGCUCUGUGAAAAGGGGGUUUAAUGCAUGUGCGUAAAGUGCAGUCCACAUAGGCUAAUCAGGGACGGCACUUUCCGCUUUUAUGAUAUGUUUUGUUAAAAGAAAGUCUCUUCUGAGCAAAAAUCGAGUUUAUCGGAAAGGUUUGUCCCUAAUUAGCCUGUACGGAAUGCACAGGCUAAUAUGUGACGACACCUUACGCACAUGCAUUAAACCCCCUUUUCACAGAGCGAGACUCAUUUGUAAUCUGCGAUUUUUGUUUAUCUAUUUCGAAUCAAUAUGAUUAAAAUAUAUUUUUGGUGAGUUAGCUUUUUGUCUCAUUGGAAUCAUUGUGCGAAUUGUCAACAAUUACAUGUAAAUCUGUAAUUCCUUCUCAAGUUGCACAUAGGCCAGUUUAAUGUUUUGCGUAUAAGCUAUUAUUGCGAUACGGGAUAUUCUUUGCAGCAAUAAAACAAUUAAUCUGCA